AACUUAAUAAUGAUCAUUUGAUAAUAAAAUUUGUUAAAAAGGAAGUGGUUUGUUUCCUCGAAGGCGAAAAGAACUCGCCUUCUUGUUAUUGGUCCAUGGCGGUCGAUUUAGAAAGUUGUGCGUCUCGAAACAGUCGAGAAAGUCAGCCAACAUGAGCGACUGUCCCAACACCGUAUCAGUGGUUCGAGGCUUGAUAAGCGUCGUUUGGCAAGAGUAUCACUCCAAAGGUCAGCUUUCUGAAGGUCUCCUCAACUCUCUGUACUGCAUAUUUGGCAAUACCUUAAUGAAGGCUUUCAAAAUCAUUGAUGGUCAAAAGGUUACAAAAAUAAUAUCAACAAGUGGACGAUACAUAUUUCAAGUGACAGGAAGACUUGAUACCCCUUAUUAUUGCCUACCUUAUUCUGUGUUUUGCCAGUGCCCAGCAUUCAAGUACCAAGUCAUCAAGAAAAAGGAAACAAUGUGUAAGCAUGUCCUCGCUGCUUGGCUUUCAUCAGCCAUGGGGGUAAUAACCAAAAAGAAAGUGUCUGAUGAACAUUUGAAGGAUAUUUUAGAGAACUUUGAGUAACUUAAAGCCAUACCAAGAGAGACCAUUUUUAUAAAUUGAAGCCAUACCAAGAGAUUAUUUUUAUAGGACUAUUUUCAUAGGCUCAUUACUUGCCCAUAAGGUUCAUUGAACUUCACUUUUUCACAGCCAGGUUUCAAAUAGGUCUUCUUUAGUGGAUGCAAUACUGUAAAUUUCCAGAUGACCUCUAAAUAAAUUUGUUCUUGGAAUUGCCGAUCCCUUUGGAACUAUUAUACACAUCAUGACCCUAUUAGCAGUACCAUUCUACCUGGUUGACUGCACUCCUGUGAUGUAAAAGGGGUAGAUAUAAGUUAUGUAUGGCAGUAUGACUCAAGGUAUAUUCCCUCAUUUUUCCUUAAGGAGCAGUCCAUGGAGUAAACCAGGAGUGAAGGGUGUCUCCCCUGGGAAGACCACUACGGCAAUGGAAAGCAAUGGUUUUUUCGGGGAAGACUGCCAUGGCAAUGGAAAGCAAUGUUAAGCCAGUGGCCCUGAAGACAAAGCAAAAGGAACCUCAAAGACAGCCACUAAGGAAUUGGUUAUAGGAAGCUCAAAGGUGAUUUAUCCAGAUCUCUAAACUCUGAGUGACAGCUGAAGACCUUAUGCAAGAGCUGAGAUGGGUUCUCAUCUUUAAAUGGUGCAGACAACACACUAUCCUUAGUGCUAGGCCUACUAUGAAACCACCCAAGCACCAAAGGUCUAGGAGGAGAUGUUUGUGAUGAAUCAGUACGUACUCUCAACAGGUGAGUUAGUGGUCAAGACAACUAGCAGAUGAACCAUUAAUGUAUCAUAAUGAAUGAGUAAUUGGGUGCCAGUCUGAGAUGACAAUUCUCAACUAUGAGGACUCAGAUAAUGUAACGUUUCAGACUACCCUUGGAAGGGGGAUGGACAUAAGCCACAAUUGCCAGUUAACCAGGAGAACAUCAUCCAAGACAAUUGCAGUCAACUAGAUCAUCAUCCAAGGCAAAAGUAAAAACAUUAGAAUUAGAGGACUAAAACAAAUGACCAGGAGGGACAUGACUGCAAGUGGUCACUAGUGACUGGGUAGACAAUGAGGAGACCACAGUGUACUGAACCAGUUGACAAAAACAAAAUGCAGUUGCAAAACCAGAGUAAAACCAUAUAUUUGUUGCCUCCAAUGAGAUGAAACCGAGGUCUCUUUCUCUCUUCAGCCAUAGUUAACAACUGUACUCUGCAAGUAAACUGAGUGUUGAGGAAUAAUUUUAUAGAUUAAUAUUCAUAUGAAAAUACUUACUGGAAUUGUUGCUGGUUUUGCAUCCAGUAUUAUGAAUGUAUUUUUCUGUUCUAAUUAGGUGUUACCAGUGUCCAGCAGAGAUAUAGAUGAGGCAUAUGAGCAAUUUGUCUUACAUUCUACCAAUGUUGCCAAAACGUCUUGCUUAGGACUAUACUAUUCUUCUAGAGUGCGUACAUUGACCUUUCAAGGUCCUGAUGGUUUCGUUGAAUUUCAAUACUGCGUGAAGCAUAAUGGUGCCACAGAUAUCAUCAACCCAUUGAAUAAAUGUAACCUUUUGGCAGAUUAAAAGCAGAGGUGCUGAAGCACAAGACAUGAACCAGGUGUCUCCUCCCUGAUCAGAGGAUAACUGCAGAUGGAGAAGCCAAGCACACCUGACAGGAUAAAGCUAGUUUCUGGCUGAUGGUACCACAUGUAACGGUGAAUUAUAAAUGAAGAGUUCCAGGAUUUGCUCCAUAUGGCUCUACCAAGUUCACCACUCAUAUCUGUAAAGGAUAGAUUAUGGAGUGCAUUAAUUCACAGCUAAGGUCACAUACACUUCCUAAGCAACUUGGGCUUACCUAACAAGUUUACUUCAAGAACUAUCAGCACUGCAAUGACCUUCUGGUGGUGCUUAUAAAGUAGGUUCAGCAAGGUCAGUUUCUCCGAAUGAUCUAUACUUUGCCAAGGGUUAGAACUGAAACUAUAUCCUGUUGCAAAUGGAGACUGUGUGGUCAGGAGAAGCUGGUCUUUGGGUACACAGCCCUAGAUGAUUCUGAUGGCCUUUCUCUUGCUUGCUGAAUAAGCAAGCUUACUACCAAGGAUUCAACUGUUUUACCCAGCUUAAUAAUUUCUUACCUUGACAUACGAACAGAGAUACAUCGCAGGAAGACUACCGACUAUAACCGAGGUAAUGUUGAGGAGAUAAUUCCACUACAACUUGAAACUGUAAUAGAAACCCACUGCCUGCAAUCUGUCUUUCCAAACUUUUCUCUAGAUGUUCCAAAAGAUUCUCAUGCAAUAGACAAGUACAACUUAGCUUAUGUCUUGAAUAAAGACAAAAGCUGUUCUGAACAAGAGCCAGACAAAAGCCUGGAAAGCAUCUCGAUAUCAAACAUACUAAAUCAGAAUACAAAACUGACCGUUCUGUUCUGUAAUUUGUUAUAACUAGAGAUAUACUGUCACUAGCAUCUAGAUAAGAAUAUGGAGCUGACUAAUACUUUGUGCCAAAUAAUCUAACCUAUCGCAAAAUAAAGUCCAUUUUCAUAAAAUUAUAAUAUACAAAUGAACAAAUAUAAUAUACAAUAUUUGUAUAUGAAUAUCAAAGGCACUUUGUCACCAAACCAAUGUUUCUCAUAAUAAACUCUGGAAGCUUUCAGCAAGACAACAAAACAUUGACCCCUUGCCUUUGUUUCAUAGAAAUAGGGAUGUCCACAAUUAUUUUAUUCUAAUAUAGUACUAGUUCUGGGCGAUAUUACCAAUAAUAACAGACCACUUAGAUUUUACAGGUUGGUUCAACAAAAGGUAAAGAUAAGAUCUAGGCUGAAAUCUCUAAAGUGGAAGCUGCAAUGUACCACAGUAACAUAUAAAGAUCAUAUUGAAUUCAAAAUUAAGAAUUACAGUACUGUAGUGUUGCAAAAAUUGUAUUUUAUGUGUACAAGAAUAAAAGUUACUAAAAUAAAAGCUUAUUUUGCUCCCUCCC